rnacentral:pre_miRNA from 2 species
UUUUGAGGAUAAGUAUAUCCCAUGUAAUGUUUGGGACAUAACUUACCCUAAAA